GCCAGGCGUGGUGGCCCGUGCCUGUAAUCCUAGCUACUCAGGAGGCUGAGGCAGGAGAAUCGCUUGAACCCAGGAGGCUGAGGUUGCAGUGAGCCGAGAUCACGCCACUGCACUCCAGCCUGGGCGACAGAGCGAGACUUUGUCUCAA
rnacentral:SRP_RNA from 1 species